rnacentral:rRNA from 1 species
UACAGAGGGGGCAAGCGUUGUUCGGAAUUACUGGGCGUAAAGGGCGCGUAGGCGGCCGCCUAAGUCAGACGUGAAAUCCCUCGGCUCAACCGGGGAACUGCGUCUGAUACUGGGUGGCUUGAAUCCGGGAGAGGGAUGCAGAAUUCCAGGUGUAGCGGUGAAAUGCGUAGAUAUCUGGAGGAAUACCGGUGGCGAAGGCGGCUUCCUGGACCGAUCACUGACGCUGAGGCGCGAAAGCCAGGGGAGCAAACGGG